CAACUUGGAACAAAGUUUUUUAUCAUUAUAUACUCUUUAUGAUAUUUUAGGAGCAUCGCUCUCCCAUUCGAGCCUGUAUUGACGGCUCUUUUCAAGCUCAUCGUCACAUCGGGAUCGCGUACCUACUAGUUAGUUACUAUCUAACCCUAAUAUCGUGUCUUGGCGUGUUCACGGACCUCUGCGCAACCAACACCGAGGUAUAUCGAUUAGUUGGCGCAGAAAGUUGGUAUCGAUCUGCAACAGAAACUUGGCUCCGUCAGAAUAUAUUUAAUUUCUCAGGUCCAUGGGGUCUGGAUACAACUAGAGGAUGCUCCUUUCCGUGUUCCUCGAUCAAUAUUCUUGCCAUACUGCCCUUCGCAACAUCGGCGCGGAGCCGAUGCAAGUCUAAGUUAAUACCAAUGUAUCGGAUAGCUUAUAGUAGACCUGUUUUUUAGAAUCCAUUUGACGUAUCGGACUUGGGAGUUAUGAGCCGACUAUUUUCGAAGGAAUAUCCCAACCCCCGGAGGAUUUAUCAGAACGGACGAUCGUCAAGCCACCGGGUGAGUACCAACGACAACCAACUUUAUCAAGACGUUGUCAUCCGUACACAAGAGUAUUUCAAAGAGGUUCUACCGUUGUAUUGGGUUUUGAAGUCAGAUUCCAGCCGUCUCUGAGCUAGCUAUCAGGAAAGCGAUGUGAC
rnacentral:lncRNA from 1 species